CUCCACCUAAAUCCGGAAAGGGCGGAUACUAUCUCAUGGAAGCUAACGAUGGAUGGUCAUUAUUCGGCUGCGUCGGCCUACGAGGUUCAAUUCCGGGGCUUAGUGGACACGGACCUUGUGUAGAAUGUCUGGAAGAUUUGGGCACCUCCAAAGUGCAAGUUUUUUGCGUGGCUCGUUAUUAACAAUAGGAUUUAG
rnacentral:rRNA from 1 species